rnacentral:rRNA from 1 species
CAGUCGAGCGAGUCUGCCUUGAAGAUCGGAGUGCUUGCACUCUGUGAAACAAGAUACAGGCUAGCGGCAGACGGGUGAGUAACACGUGGGUAACCUGCCCAAGAGAUCGGGAUAACACCUGGAAACAGAUGCUAAUACCGGAUAACAACAGAUGAUGCCUAUCAACUGUUUAAAAGAUGGUUCUGCUAUCACUCUUGGAUGGACCUGCGGUGCAUUAGCUAGUUGGUAGGGUAACGGCCUACCAAGGCGAUGAUGCAUAGCCGAGUUGAGAGACUGAUCGGCCACAUUGGGACUGAGACACGGCCCAAACUCCUACGGGAGGCAGCAGUAGGGAAUCUUCCACAAUGGACGCAAGUCUGAUGGAGCAACGCCGCGUGAGUGAAGAAGGGUUUCGGCUCGUAAAGCUCUGUUGUUGGUGAAGAAGGACAGGGGUAGUAACUGACCUUUGUUUGACGGUAAUCAAUUAGAAAGUCACGGCUAACUACGUGCCAGCAGCCGCGGUAAUACGUAGGCGGCAAGCGUUGUCCGGAUUUAUUGGGCGUAAAGCGAGUGCAGGCGGCUCGAUAAGUCUGAUGUGAAAGCCUUCGGCUCAACCGGAGAAUUGCAUCAGAAACUGUCGAGCUUGAGUNNNNAAGAGGAGAGUGGAACUCCAUGUGUAGCGGUGAAAUGCGUAGAUAUAUGGAAGAACACCGGUGGCGAANGCGGCUCUCUGGUCUGUNNNUGACG